UACGUAGGGCGCAAGCGUUAUCCGGAAUUAUUGGGCGUAAAGAGCUCGUAGGCGGUGUGUCGCGUCGGCCGUGAAAACCUGGGGCUCAACUCUGGGCGUGCGGUCGAUACGGGCAUCACUUGAGUUCGGCAGGGGAGACUGGAAUUCCUGGUGUAGCGGUGAAAUGCGCAGAUAUCAGGAGGAACACCGGUGGCGAAGGCGGGUCUCUGGGCCGAUACUGACGCUGAGGAGCGAAAGCAUGGGUAGCGAACAGGG
rnacentral:rRNA from 1 species